rnacentral:lncRNA from 13 species
GUACCUAGCACGGAGCCUGGGGCAUGAUGCUUUGGCCAUGAAGUCUUGCCCGAUCCUCUGGAAAUGGACAUGGGAGGAGCUUCCCAGGGAAGCUUGGGCAGGACGGGAGAGUGAGGACGGUACUCGGCAGGCCCUCUGCCACUGGACACAAACAGCAACAAACGGUGUUUCUUCUAAAAGGUCACCUUGGCUUCAGAAAAUAAGGUAAUUUUCGAUGUCAAGAAGGAACAGUAAAACAGGGCCAUGUGAGAGAGAGAAAGAUGCUUUCGAUGGGCUGAUCGGAGAAGAGCUCCCUGGCGAGGUGCUGUUUGAGCUGAGACCUGAAGGAUGAGCUCCAUCGUGUGAGGAUCUGGAAGAGCAGGUGAGGCUGAGGGAACGGCGAGUGCAAAGGCCCUGAGAUGGAACUGAGGUGGGAAUGACCGAGGGAUGGAAAGAAGCCCAGCAUGGCUGGGGUGGUGAACAGGAGGAGAGUUAUAUGAGGUGAGGCAGGGGUGGGCGAGUAGGGUGGAUAGUUCUCAGCCAGGGUGGUACCUCCCUCCCCAGUGAGUAUUUUCUGGUUGCCACAGGGACGGGGGAACAAACUCUUGGCAUUUGGUGCUGGGAGGGAUGACAAAUGCUCUGUAUUACCCAGGAGUCCCACAGAAUACUGACAUUUCUCCCAUUAAGAAACAGUGGGGCCAGGCGCAGUGGCACCUGUAAUCCCAGCACUUUGGGAGGCUGAGGUGGGCAGAUCGUUUGAGCCCAAGAAUUCGUGACCAGCCUGGACAACAUGGCAA